rnacentral:rRNA from 1 species
CGGACGGGUGAGUAAUGUCUGGGAAACUGCCUGAUGGAGGGGGAUAACUACUGGAAACGGUAGCUAAUACCGCAUAACGUCGCAAGACCAAAGAGGGGGACCUUCGGGCCUCUUGCCAUCGGAUGUGCCCAGAUGGAAUUAGCUAGUAGGUGGGGUAAUGGCUCACCUAGGCGACGAUCCCUAGCUGGUCUGAGAGGAUGACCAGCCACACUGGAACUGAGACACGGUCCAG